CUGGUUGAUCCUGCCAGUAGUCAUAUGCUUGUCUAAAAGAUUAAGCCAUGCAUGUCUAAGUAUAAGCUUUUAUACGGCAAAACUGCGAAUGGCUCAUUAAAACAGUUAUUGUUUAUUUGAUGGUCAAUUACUACACGGAUAACCGUGGUAAUUCUGGAGCUAAUACGUGCGUUAAGCCUGACUUUUGUGGAAGGGCGGCAUUUAUUAGAUAAAGAACCAUCUCACGCUUCUGCGUGAUGUAUUGGUGAUCCAUAGUAACUGAGCGAAUCGCAUAGCCUUGGCUGGCGAUGGUUCAUUUAAGUUUCUGACCUAUCAGCUUUCGACGGUAGGGUAUUGGCCUACCGUGGCUAUGACGGGUAACGGGGAAUUAGGGUGCAUGGCUU
rnacentral:rRNA from 1 species